AGUUAAGAGAAGAUAUCAUAAACAAAGAUACAACGUAGUAGUGUCAACUCUUUCCUAUGUGGCGUAACUUAUUGUUUGUGAAAGUCCUUGGUCUAAGUCUUUCCUCUGAGGCAUGAUUUAUAGAACAUCUUAUAAAUUAAGACACAAUGUGGCAGUGCCAACUCUUGCCCAUGAAACACAACUUGUUGUUUGAAAGUCGUCGGGUUAAGUCAUUCUAUUAAGGUAAGAGUUAUAGAAUAUUUCAUAAAUUAGGAUUUCAAUGUGGUAGUGUCAACUCUUGUCCAUGAUGUUUAAAAGUUCUUAGGCUAUGUCUUUCCUCUAAGGUAAGAGUUAGAGUAUCUCAUAAGUCAAAAACAUAAUAAAGUAAUG
rnacentral:lncRNA from 1 species